rnacentral:misc_RNA from 1 species
UGUUUGGUUUGUUACGUGUGGUUGGCUGCGGCGUUUGCAACAACUUCCAUGCUUUCAGACCUCUUCAGUUGUGCGGCAAGGCUUGUAUCGCCUUGAGCGUAUUGUGGGUUUUCUGUGUUGGCUACCUAAUCAACGGUAUCGUUUGGAUUGAUCAAAGUUUGAUUUCGUCUUCCGUCGCGUUUGCGGCGUGAGGUGAACCUUGAUGCGGUCUCUUUGAUCCAUNUCGUCGAAGCACAUGCUUUGACGUUGUGGCACAUUGAGCAUUGCUUGGUGUCUUGUAUACGGAACACGUAGUGGGCAUGGAUCUAACGAUUCUUGUUUGCCCUCGUAUUAGCGUAACGCUUCUCUAACACGACUUGNACCACGUUUUAGCUCGUACGGACGUGGUGCUAUGUCGCAGAGGAAUGCUACCUGGUUGAUCCUGCCAGAGUCAAGUA